rnacentral:rRNA from 1 species
GUCUAUGGCCAUGCCACCCUGGACAAGCCUGAUGUCUGAUCUCAGAAGCUAAGCAGGGUCGGCCCUGGUUAGUACUUGGAUGGGAGACCAUCUAGGAAGACCAGGUGCUGUAGGCA